ensembl:snoRNA SNORD79 Small nucleolar RNA SNORD79
UGCCGUUGAUGAUGUUUAAAGUAUCAUUGGGAAUCUCUCUGAGACUAUGUGAAAGAAUUUAGAUAACUGAAACGGUC